rnacentral:piRNA from 1 species
UGGCGGGAUGUCGGUGUGGUGUCGUUUGU